GGACUACUGGGGUUUCUAAUCCCGUUCGCUCCCCUGGCUUUCGCGCCUCAGCGUCAGAAGGUGACCAGCACGCCGCUUUCGCCACCGGCGUUCCUUCGGAUAUCUACGCAUUUCACCGCUCCACCCGAAGUUCCGCGUGCCCCUCCACCCCUCAAGACCUCCAGUAUCCACGGCACUUCCCCGGUUGGGCCGGGGGCUUUCACCAUAGACUGGGAGGCCCGCCUACGCGCCCUUUAAGCCCAGUGAAUCCGAACAACGUUCGCACGGUUCGUCUUACCGCGGCUGCUGGCAC
rnacentral:rRNA from 1 species